AGACACCUGGCCGGCAGCACUUAGUCUAGAGGAGCGACACGAGAGGGCAGCAGCUGCCGGUGGCAGCACGAACUGUCCCUGCCUGUGAAAGUGUGGCCGAAAUUGCUUACCUGCACUUUCGAAGCCAAGAAGAGAGGGAAGCAGCAAGAAGAAGGAUAUGGCUGAUGAACAUGUGCAGAGCAAGUUGACAGAACACAAAACCAACUGCAUUGUGUAGAGUAAGUGCAAUUUUCACUCAUUAACGUAGAUUAGAAAAUGUAGGAUUCCCCGCCUAGUAUAUCACGUAGCAAAGACGUGCAGUAUUUUUACUUGUACUGCUGGUGACGUAACUAGCUGCAGAAUGUUGAGGUUAAAUUCGUAACGUACAGUAUAGGUACUUUUACUGGUGCACACUUGUUGGAAAAACACAAAAUAAUGUCACCAGUAACUGAGCCAGCAAAACGAAAUCUCGUUUCAACUUGAAGCGUGCAAUUCAUGAAGCAUGCUUUUCUGAUUUGUUUAUUUCUGUUCAGUGUAACAUCACGGGAAGUGACGAAUUAAAACGAAACGAGACAAACGUAAAAGGAAAACAAAUAUAAUGAGAACAGUAUAGUUUAUUUCUUAAUUUCUCGUUAUUUUACAGCUGUUGUGUAAGAGACUGUUGCAGUAAACGAUCUCAAGUGCAAAUAGAGCUUCAACAUGUGUGUAAAAUAUUGCGGUACCGCAACACAUACCAAGUAAUGAACGUUACAUAAGAGGAGAUGUUACGUUUUUCAAUUAAAAAUUAAAUUGCUUUCGAGCAAUUCAGUAAGUGGGAUGCCACAGCACGUGCACUUUGUGUGUUGUCAGUAACAGUAAUAUUUGUAUAGUUUUUUUUUUUUUUUCUCUAGAUGAAUGUUAUUUCCAAAUAUAAUUGUAAUGGUUAGUUACGAAAUUUUGUCACCUUUAAUACACAGCAGACGUAAUGAGAUCAGCCAAUUAUAGUUUCACUGAUUAAUCGAAUCAUAAUGUUCCAGAGUUAUUUUAAAACAAAGGAACAAAUGGAUUUGUGAUAGGCCUAGUUAAAUAGCGCCCCCACCAGGGUCGACAGAAGCGUCCGAUCCCACGCGUCGGGUUUGACCCGUGACGUAAGGGUGUUGUGUGUGACAUCAUGACGGCGCGGAGAUUGGUUUGGAGUGUGGCGUGUUUGUAGAUGUCGUCGUGUUGUGGUAUGUUCAGGGUUUUAGUUUGUAUGGUGUAAUGAGCUCAGUUUGCUUUUGCUUAUUAUCAAGAAUUGUUAGUGUUGGCUGUGUUGGUAGUGGAAUUAGUUUCAGUGAGAUAACGAGUUGCGUGAAGGUUAAUUUAGUGUUGUUCGCUGUGCGUCGUGUAGUAAUUUUAGUAAAAUUAAUCUGUUGCUGUUUUUGUUCAGGAAUGUAUAUGACGGAUAAAAUUAACACUGCGCAGGACAAGGGAAGUGUCCGAUCCCAAUGACUGGCUAUGUUGUUGGUAAUGGUAUCGGGAGAUGUUUUUUAGCUAUAUAGGCCAAGGGAAGUGUUUGAUUCUAAUUUAUGGGAUUGGAAGCUGCUGUUGAGCUGCAUAGUCCAGAUUAUAUUGUGUUUAGUGGUAUUUGGGGAGUUUGUGAUGUCGGUUUUGUUUCGUCGUUUUGUGUGGUUUUGUAUUGGGGGUGGGAGUCUAAAUUUGUUUAUAUUUAGUUUGCUCCCACCCAAAAACACACCAUUUCCCGCGCUUCUCGCGUUAGUGUCAUUAGGGUUUUUUUUUUUUUUUUUUUUUUUUUUUUUUUUGGAAAUUGUGGAUGUUUGUUUUUCGAUGUGUUAUCGUCCUCAUAAUGUGUACGUAACGACUUUAUACGUGCCAUAUUGGAAUCUUGGUUUGUGGUCGUUUCUGCCAUAUUUGUGACGUCAUGGGUCAAAGCAGACGGGCGGGAUCGGACACUUCCGUAUUUCCUAAAUAUGCCCAUGGGAGGUCAGUUGCAUGCAAAAAUUAGUUUUAUAGCUUCAGUAACGUGCACCUUGUAUUCAUACUAUCGUUUGCUGCCGAAUCACACUGUCUGAAAUAAAAUAGGAAUACCCACUUCCGAUUUUAUGGUUUAAUUAAUAGGAUGUUAAACAUUCUGACCCGCCAGCCUGGUGAUUGUAAAUUGACCACUACAAGAGACUUAAGUAUUCCAGGGAAAGAAGUGAGCGUAAUUACCUGGUAUGUGCCGUGGAAGAAAAACUAGGUUCAGUAACUAUUUAAAGAAAAAUGCCUUUUUAUUGCACUGUAUUUUUUUAAAUUGGACAAUAAGUAUAAAAUAAUUUAAUCCAACCCCAUACAGAUAGCUAUGAAAAUGAAUGAUUGUGAAACUGUAAUAGCUAUAUAAAUGCUUGUAAGACUUAAAAUGAGAAGUGUGGUGUACAAUCAGUAGAUAAUCGAUGCAUGAAUAGUUCACCUCUUUGCUAUUAACUUAAGCAUGCAAUUAUUCUAUAGACCAUAAUACAUUAUUGUGCAGAAAUAUGCAAAAGACAUCUGCAUUAUUAAUUUGUCAGAAUAUGUGUAUUUCUGGAUAUAUUUUAGACUUUCAUUAAAAUGCAGUAGUUUUGUUCAAUACGAACUUAAACUAUCAUGGACUUCAGAUAGAAACACCAAAAUAAUGGCUCUAGUACUUUUUACCUCUCGGAAUCCUCCAAGAAGUGCAUUAAAAUCCUCACAAACUAAUGAAUGGUUCAGCUUCUUUGACAAAUAGCUCAAUAAUUCAUCUAGAUUUCUCUUAAAUCACUGAAAGUCUCGUAGACCCCCCGAGGAGUGUAUUAUUCUUAGUAACAACUGACAAGCACAUGAUUUUACAUUGCGAUCUACAGAGAAAGUGCUUGUUUCUAUAUUUUUGCGUUUGUGUUAAAACUCCUUUUCCCAAGUUAACUGUACACAUAAAUGAUGCUAGCCUGUAAUCCUUUACACCUUAUUUCUCCAUCACUGUGCGUACAUGGUUUAGAGAGAGGCACAAAACACACAGAAUUUCACACACCUUCGUGACAUAAAAGAUCAUCUACCUCUUUAGUCAACAUCCAAAUGUUUUGACGGACCAAACAUUUAACGUUUCUGGAAACUAUUCCGUAUUUUCUGGUUCUGUGCAGUUCUAAUUCCUAUCAAAGCUGUCUGUCUCUACUCUAAGGCCGGUAUUGCACUAUCAAAUUUCUUGGUUCAAUAACUUUGUCAAAGAUAUUUGAUGGUGUAAUAGGGAACUUUGACAAAUGCCGCCCAAUAUUUGAUCAAAUCAUCGCUUGUCUUCUGUUCACUGCAAUGCGAAAUGUUUCUACGCGGAGCGCCAGCAUCGCUGGAGCGUUCUGUCAUCUGUAGUGUUUGUAAACGUGGACGAAAAAUACGGUCGGUGUGUGGCGUCUACCACAAAAUUAAUUGAAAUGUAUGAAGUGGAUGAGGCGCUUUACAAUGUGAGGCACCCUGAUUAUAAAAAUAGAUUAAGAAGAUUGGAGAGUUACAAAAAUAUAGCGGAGAUUAUUAGCCGUGACUAACGGCCUGGAUGUACGGCUGAGGAUAUAAAGAGGAAAAUAAAUGGCUUCCGCACAAGCUACUCGUACGAGAAAGCAAAAAUGCAUAAAAGCAAAAGUGGAGUCAGUGCGCAGGCGGCGUAUACUCCACAAGUGUACUGGUUCCUGGUUCCACAUGCUGAAGUUUCUGGACCACGCGACAGAGGCGGACGAGAGUGUUUGCAAUAUAGAAAGCACGGAAAGAGAAAGUGGAAGUGCCACACCGACGUUCGAAGAAAUGUUUGAGCAUGAGGUGCAAGAGCCUGUCACAUGUAGCGAGGCACAGCCACAGCCCCUGCGUCAAGAGCGGCCUCCCACUACACGGAGGAAAGUCACACCAGUCGUGGCAACAGGCGUCAUGGUGGAGGCCAGCAGGCUAUGGCUGAUGCUGCCAGAACCAUGCCUGUCCAAGGAGACCUCUACACUACCCUUGGCGCUCACAUCACAGCAGAUCUGCGUGAAAUGGAAAAAGUGGGUGGCAGGGAAUACACCACUGCCACAGUGCACUGCCUGGAACGGAAAUUAAUGGACAGGUGGGACUUGCUGCAUGCGACAGCCCGUGCACAACGAGCACAACCGUCCACCUCUGGAUAUAUCCAGGCUGCCUUGCAACAGGCUGGAAUAGGGGAAGAAGACUCAAUUCUACAAAUAUAUAUGUAUAUAAUUUUUGUAUCUCUCCAAUCUUCGUAAUCUGUUUUUAUAAUCAGAGUGUCUCACAUUGUAAAGUGUCUCAUCCGCUUCAUACAUCUCUCUUAAUUUUGUGGUAUCACACACCAAUUGAAAUUUGCUAUGUAAAUAAAAUAAUAAUUUAUCUUAAUGAA